rnacentral:piRNA from 1 species
UCCGAGAAUUUUUAAAUAUUU